GUCUGAGCUAAGAGAAGCUGCUAAAUUUAGAAGAUAUGGGACUGUGAUUCCCAUCUCUGGAUCUGAUUUCGUACGUGAGGUUGCACAAGCCUCUGCUGAAGAUUGGGUUGUUGUAUGUCUAUACAAAGAUAGAGUGUGGUUUGCUAUUGGGUUGUCUAGAAGAAUUGGCUAGCAGAUGUGUCCAGAUGUGUUACAUGGAUUCAGACCACACUCUGCAACACUAUCAAAGAGACAGGUACGCUUUUUAAAAAAAUAUUCAUGUCCUGAUCACUUGUCGAAUUCCAGUACUGGAUGUAAGACUCCAUGUAAAAGCCAACAUUUGAAAUAGUCUAUCCAUUGAAUUAA